GACGAACGCUGGCGGCGUGCUUAACACAUGCAAGUCGAGCGGUAAGGCCUUUCGGGGUACACGAGCGGCGAACGGGCGAGUAACACGUGGGUGAUCUGCCCUGCACUUCGGGAUAAGCCUGGGAAACUGGGACUAAUACCGGAUAUGACCUCCUAUCGCAUGGUGGGUGGUGGAAAGAUUUAUCGGUGCAGGAUGGGCCCGCGGCCUAUCAGCUUGUUGGUGGGGUAAUGGCCUACCAAGGCGACGACGGGUAGCCGACCUGAGAGGGUGACCGGCCACACUGGGACUGAGACACGGCCCAGACUCCUACGGGAGGCAGCAGUGGGGAAUAUUGCACAAUGGGCGGAAGCCUGAUGCAGCGACGCCGCGUGAGGGAUGACGGCCUUCGGGUUGUAAACCUCUUUCAGCAGGGACGAAGCGUAAGUGACGGUACCUGCAGAAGAAGCACCGGCUAACUACGUG
rnacentral:rRNA from 1 species